rnacentral:rRNA from 1 species
UACAGAGGUCCCAAGCGUUGUUCGGAUUCACUGGGCGUAAAGGGUGCGUAGGUGGCGCUGUAAGUCGGGUGUGAAAUUUCGGAGCUUAACUCCGAAACUGCAUUGGAUACUGCCUUGCUAGAGUGCUGGAGAGGGAACUGGAAUUUACGGUGUAGCAGUGAAAUGCGUAGAGAUCGUAAGGAAGGCCAGUGGCGAAGGCGAGUUCCUGGACAGUUACUGACGCUGAGGCACGAAGGCCAGGGAGCAAACGGG